CCUACGGGUGGCAGCAGUGAGGAAUAUUGGUCAAUGGGCGGAAGUCUGAACCAGCCAAGUAGCGUGCAGGAUGACGGCCCUAUGGGUUGUAAACUGCUUUUAUACGGGAAUAACGCGCUUUACGUGUAGGGCUUUGCAUGUACCGUAUGAAUAAGGACCGGCUAAUUCCGUGCCAGCAGCCGCGGUAAUACGGAAGGUCCGGGCGUUAUCCGGAUUUAUUGGGUUUAAAGGGAGCGUAGGCCGCAUGUUAAGCGUGCUGUGAAAUGUUCGGGCUCAACCCGGGCCUUGCAGCGCGAACUGGCGUGCUUGAGUCCGAGGAGAGCAGGCCGAAUUCGUCGUGUGAGGGUGAAAUGCUUAGGUA
rnacentral:rRNA from 1 species